GCGCCCAUUCAAUGGGUGGAUUACAACUUUGCCAAAGUAGUCUCGCAUUGCCUCAUUUAGAAUGCAACUGGCGCCAAAAGGAUGCAUCUGGAUUACCGAGACUGAUGGCAGUCCUAAACAAAUGUAUGGCCAGUACAAGGAAGAUUUAGAAGCUUAUGCAAAAGCUGAAGCUAGAAGACUGAAAGCAUUACAAAAAUUGAGAAAAAAAGAAGAAACGAUAAGAAAGAAGCAACUAAAAACUUACCGUAGUGCGUGGCAAAGAAGACUUGCAGGGUACUUCACAGCAUUUUGGCAUCACACAUUUGCCAAAUUAGGUGAAGAUUGGGUAUUUCUUGCUGUACUUGGCAUUCUUACCUCCUUAAUUAGUUUUGGCAUGGAUUAUGCAAUAGCAAUAUGCUUAAGAA